AUGGGGAUCGCACAGGCUGCCGCCCCGCUGCGCCUGCAUCUCGGAUGCUCCGGCGCGGCGCCCCCGCGGCCCACCUCCCUCAGGGUCGGGUUCGGGUUCGGAUCCCAUGCGAGGAGGAAGGGCGGGAGGAGGCGGAGCCCUCCCCGCGCCGCCAGCUCGCUGCAUCCCAGCAGCAACACGAGAGCGCACGACCAUGACCCCGUCCUCAAGCCUCCCGCUCCCGCCGGCGAUGUCGCCGGGAGGGACUUGAACGGCGCCGCCGACCACGCGCCGCAGCAGAGGCGGCGCGCGGCGAGCGACCUGGAGGAGGAGGCGUGGGCGCUGCUCCGGGAGUCGGUGGUGAGCUACUGCGGCAGCCCCGUGGGCACCAUCGCCGCCUGCGACCCCAACGACUCCAGCCCGCUCAACUACGACCAGGUCUUCAUCCGGGACUUCGUGCCCUCGGGCAUCGCCUUCCUGCUCAAGGGGGAGUACGACAUCGUCCGCAACUUCAUCCUGCACACGCUCCAGCUCCAGAGCUGGGAGAAAACCAUGGACUGCCACAGUCCAGGGCAAGGCUUGAUGCCAGCUAGUUUCAAGGUGCGUGUCGUUCCGCUUGAAGGUGAUGAAGAGGGCGCAACUGAGGAAGUCCUCGAUCCUGAUUUUGGGGAGGCUGCUAUAGGCCGUGUGGCACCAGUUGAUUCAGGUCUAUGGUGGAUCAUAUUACUGAGGGCAUACGGAAAAUGUUCAGGAGAUCUUUCAUUUCAUGAGAGAAUCGAUGUCCAGACUGGAAUAAAAUUGAUCUUGAAGCUCUGCUUAGCUGAUGGGUUUGACAUGUUCCCCACAUUGCUAGUCACUGAUGGAUCCUGCAUGAUGGAUCGUCGAAUGGGUAUCCAUGGACACCCACUGGAGAUUCAGUCACUGUUCUAUUCAGCCCUCUUGUGUGCACGUGAGAUGCUUACCCCAGAAGAUGGAUCUGCUGACUUGAUCCGUGCCCUAAAUAACAGGCUUAUGGCGCUCUCUUUUCAUAUUAGGGAAUAUUACUGGCUUGACAAGAGAAAGCUAAAUGAGAUAUAUCGAUACAAAACAGAAGAAUAUUCUUAUGAUGCUGUCAACAAGUUUAACAUAUAUCCUGAUCAGAUUCCCCCCUGGCUAGUUGAAUGGAUCCCUCCGGAAGGGGGUUACUUAAUUGGAAACCUGCAACCAGCUCACAUGGAUUUCCGAUUCUUUUCUCUGGGGAACUUGUGGUCUAUAGUAAGCAGUUUGGCAACAACCCGUCAAUCCCAUGCUAUUCUGGAUCUAGUUGAAGCCAAAUGGUCUGAUCUAGUGGCAGAAAUGCCAUUGAAGAUAUGUUAUCCUGCUCUCGAGGAUCAAGAGUGGAAAUACAUUACAGGGAGUGACCCUAAAAACACGCCUUGGUCAUACCAUAAUGCAGGUUCCUGGCCAACAUUGUUGUGGCAGCUCACGGUGGCAUGUAUCAAGAUGAACCGGCCUGAGAUUGCAGCAAGAGCCGUGGAGGUGGCUGAGAGGCGUAUUUCCGUGGAUAAAUGGCCUGAAUACUACGAUCUAAGCGUGGGCGGUUCAUCGGCAAACAAGCUCGACUAUUCCAAACGUGGUCCAUUGCGGGCUUCCUUGUGGCCAAGCUGCUGCUCGAAAACCCUGAAAAGUCUAGAAUACUUUGUAACAACGAAGACGAGGAAUUUGCUAAUGCUUUUAAUCUCAUGGCUGAUUCAUGCAGCCCGAACAGGAAGCGUGGCAGGAAAGCCCCGAAGAAGACCUACAUUGUGUAAGUCUAACAGCAGCUCCAAUGUUAGGGGGGUUCUUAGAUGUAGCGGUGUAGUUUUUUGUGCGAAUCGCACAUAUACCUCCAGGAUUUGUACAUAUUACAGUGAACUUGUCUAG
rnacentral:rRNA from 1 species